GACGAACGCUGGCGGCGUGCUUAACACGUGCAAGUCGAACGCUGAAGCUCAGCUUUUGUUGGGUGGAUGAGUGGCGAACGGGUGAGUAACACGUGAGUAACCUGCCCCCUUCUUUGGGAUAACGCCCGGAAACGGGUGCUAAUACUGGAUAUUCACUGGUCUUCGCAUGGGGGUUGGUGGAAAGGGUUUUUCUGGUGGGGGAUGGGCUCGCGGCCUAUCAGCUUGUUGGUGGGGUGAUGGCCUACCAAGGCUUUGACGGGUAGCCGGCCUGAGAGAGUGACCGGUAACAUUGGGACGGAGAUACGGCCCAGACUCCUACGGGAGGCAGCAGUGGGGAAUAUUGCACAAUGGGCGAAAGCGUGAUGCAGCGACGCCGCGGGAGGGAUGGAGGCCUUCGGGUUGUGAACCUCUUUCGCUCAUGGUCAAGCCGCAACAAUGGUUGUGGUGAGGGUAGUGGGUAAAGAAGCGCCGGCUAACUACGUG
rnacentral:rRNA from 1 species